rnacentral:rRNA from 1 species
CUCCAGACUCCUACGGGAGGCAGCAGUGGGGAAUAUUGCACAAUGGGGGAAACCCUGAUGCAGCGACGCCGCGUGAGUGAAGAAGUAUCUCGGUACGUAAAGCUCUAUCAGCAGGGAAGAUAAUGACGGUACCUGACCAAGAAGCCCCGGCCAACUACGUGCCAGCAGCCGCGGUAAUACGUAGGGGGCAAGCGUUAUCCGGAUUUACUGGGUGUAAAGGGAGCGUAGACGGCAGCGCAAGUCUGAAGUGAAAUGCCGGGGCUUAACCCCGGAACUGCUUUGGAAACUGCGCAGCUAGAGGGCAGGAGAGGUAAGUGGAAUUCCUAGGGUAGCGGUGAAAUGCGUAGAUAUUAGGAGGAACACCAGUGGCGAAGGCGGCUUACUGGACAGUAAC